CUGGUUGGUUUUGAUAUUUUGUACCACUAAAAAUUCAUACAUGUUUUCUGAAGACUCUUCAAUUUGUUAUGAUUCAAAAGGAAAUCCUUCCUGUUGUCAAGAUUAUAAGAAUAUUUCUGGAGAGUGUAUAGAAUUGCUCCAAUCCAUGUAUGUACGGGUACUAUGGACAUGGAUGCCGUGAGCGUUGUAAUUGUUACCAAAAUCAGACGUGUGACAGAAAAAGAGGUUGUAUUGC